CCCGACCUGGUUUUGGGGGGGGAAAUAAAGGAAAAAAUUUUUUCCUUUAUUUCCCCCCCCAAAAAGUAGGUGCGUC